GUAGCUGUUCUUAGGAAACAGCCCAUUGGAGACCGGACAACUAAGAAGAAGGACAUUGUGAACUCUGGUGAACAGUCAAAGCAUGUACAAGUGGCCCACGGGAAUGGCUCACUGAGAUAAACGACAAACAAAUGGCAUUCAACGCGUAAAUACAUUCAUUAUUUCCUUUUUCCAAACGGGCGGCGGUUUGUGUGCAAGUACUCUGCUCAGCCCAGCGUUCAGAACAGCCAAAGACUCGGCAGGUGAAAGGCAUCGUGGGAACUUUUCUCUCUUUUCCAGAGGGUGUUGACAUCUGGCAAUUUACUUUAUGGAGACCUUGGCAAUAUUGCACAGGUGUACCCUGGUAAACAAAGUAAUACAAACCUUGAGAAGAGAUAUAAAAACCGCCUUCACUGGAACAAUGUUACUGGAGUCUUCACUUUGUCAUAUCUACAAAUAGAUGAUUCUGGGGUGUACACUGUGGAGAAUGCAGAUGCUGAAGAGAAGAUGACACAUACAUUUCAGCUGACUGUGUACUAUGUUCUGUCCAAACCUCAGGUGACGGUCCAUGAUAACAUCUCCUGUAGCGUGGUGUGUUCUGUGGAGAAUGGGAGAGAGGUGACCCUGUCCUGGUACAGAGGAGGGGAGAGACUUAACCAGACGAGCAGCCCUGACCUCAACAUCACCCUCUCUCUACCUCUCAAGGUGGAUGUACAGACCAGAGACUCUUACAGAUGUGAGGCUGCCAACCCAGUCAGCAAGGAGACAGUUGUUGUUCCACAUUCCUGUAUAGAGAGUGAUCCCUCCAAGG